rnacentral:rRNA from 1 species
GCAAUGGGCGCAAGCCUGACGGAGCAAUACCGCGUGAGGGAGGAAGGCUUUUGGGUCGUAAACCUCUUUUAUUGGGGAAGAAGCACUGACGGUACCCAAUGAAUCAGCCACGGCUAACUCCGUGCCAGCAGCCGCGGUAAUACGGAGGAUGCAAGCGUUAUCCGGAAUUAUUGGGCGUAAAGCGUCCGCAGGUGGUUAAUCAAGUCUGCUGUUAAAGCGUGCGGCUUAACCGCAUAUCGGCAGUGGAAACUGGUUGACUAGAGUUCGGUAGGGGUCACGGGAAUUCCCAGUGUAGCGGUGAAAUGCGUAGAUAUUGGGAAGAACACCAGCGGCGAAAGCGCGUGACUGGGCCUGAACUGACACUGAGGGACGAAAGCUAGGGGAGCGAAAGGGAUUAGAUACCCCUGUAGUCAUUGGGGAAUUUUCCGCAAU